ensembl:lncRNA
UGCUUCCCAAACACUGGCCCAGGUUCCCCCCCCCCUGCCAAAUGGCUGCAGCUAUGAUAUCAUUCUCAUUCUGCAGCAUAAAGUUACACAACAGGAUUUCAGACAUGGUGUAAUGUAAACCUAGAAACAAUUUUCUAUCACUUUGCCAUGCAUACUUCUAGAUAAUGAGGGAAUAUAUCUUUUAAAAAAUUUUUAAAGUGCUAGAACUUAUUCUUCAUAGUAUUUUUGAAUAGAAAAAUUAAAUGGUUUUUUCCUUUAUACCUAAAACUACGGAUUCUGCCCAGACAUAUGCAGAGGUGGUCAAGGAUAGUUUUCAUAUCCUUCACAAGAGGCACAAAGCCUUCACAAAGACUUUUCAGAAACACCAGAGAGAAAUGAGGAAUUUUGACCAACAGUGGAAGGAUAACCAGGAACUUUUCAGACAAGAGAUGCAAGAAGAGAUGAAGAGAAGACAGGGCCAAAAGCAGAAAGAGCUGCUUACUACUGUACCAGAUGUCCCGAAUAGUUCCGACAAGAUUUCAAGCCCAAUAGUCUCAUUUCUGCUGCCUUAAUUAAUUUCUGAUUGGUGGUUUAUGUCUCUUUUUGAAUUGAAUGAGAAGUACAAACUAGGUGUAUUUAUUGUCACCUCUUAUAAAUAUAAUUCUAGUCUGUUUUAUAUAAUAUUUAAAGGAAAUCAAUUUUGAUUUGUACAUAUGAAUACAUGAUUGAUUGGAAACGGUUGUAUACAAGGGACAACAUAAGCUAAUGCUCUGAGAAUAACAUUGUAUGAUGUGCAGUUUCCCUUAUUUGGUAUAAAAGAAAAUUUGUUGAUGACAUUUUGAGACAUUAGUGACAAACUAGUGUUCCUUGAUUUAAAAAAUGUAAAUCUGAAAAUGUAAGUUUCCACAUUUUCAGUGCCUCAUAUUGCCAAUACUUCAGGAAAUGAUGUAUUUUAUCUUUUCAUUUUUCGUAAAGACAGCUUAUUUGUAUUGUGAUGUAGUCUUGAAGAUACACAUGAUGCAUCAUGUACAGUAAUGGUACAAGGCUGAAUAUGUUUUUGUUUUUGGUGGGUUUUUUGCAAAAUUGUUUUGCUGGUUUAUCCAAACACUCUUGAGAUAUCAGUGCAUAAUACUGUAUAUAUCUUAAUAAGAGAAGUAUAAAGUAAAAAGAAACAUAAUUUUCAUCUACAAAUUAGAUUGGCAAACACUGUUGAGCUCUGAAAUUCAAGUUCAGUCUAUUAAUCUGCUAACACAUAUGUAAUCUCCAAGGUUACAUUUAACAAUUUGCUGCUUUUACACAAACCAUUGACAUGCUCUUUUCUUAUAUCCACGAAGUAAAUCUCUGCAGGCUUUGAAAUUCAAAGUUUAUGGAUUGCUUUUUUACAAAAAAAAACCCUUCCCAUUUACAAAUCAUAAUUGUUUGCAAUCAAAUCAUGUUGACAGAGAUGGGUUUCAGUGGUGCAGUUCUUUGUACCAACUGUGACUUUACUGGCAGUUUAAACCUACAAAUGUUUUCUAUUUUUUUGUUGUUUUUUGUCUUUUGCCAUGUGGGAAAAUUUUUUAAAGAACAGUAAUAUAUCACUUUAGAAAAUAAAUAAUUUCACAUAAAGACA